CUUAACCUAUAUGCAGGGGCUUGUGCAAGGUUGCCUCUUGUGUACAUGUUUGUGUUAUCGCAACUUCUUUAUUGAAACUCUCGAUAAAAUCUUGAAGUUGCAUCUCUGUGUGGGUUUGAAAUGGGCUUCUACCAAGUGCUUUCUGAAUCUAAUUCUAUAUUUUCUGUACGACCCAAUUAUGAAUACGAACUAGAAACGUCGUAUCUCCUGCAACGUCCCAAGAGAUGAAGCAACUUGAAAUUCCAAGGACUCAAACUUCAUCUAGCAUGGAGAAAGUUCUCAAUACUGACUGGAGUUAUCCUAGAGAAAAUAGUGCAUCCUGGCAAUUCUUCAAUAUUCGGGUAUUCAAAUCUUGUCAACUGGAUGGUGAAAACUAAUAUUGAAGCUCGUCAUAUGCUUUGAUUUUGGAAGCCAUGUAGCGGUAUCUUCAAUUGACAUGACUGAGCUAUGAAUCAAUGGAUGAGCCACAAUUCUAUUUUCCAUGGUCAGUACUUCUCCAGCUUGUACACUUCGAAUCAAGAUCAAAUGUAACGAAUAGUAAAUGGUCUUAUACCAAUACACAGGGAACUUCAAUGCACCUAGUAACAAUAUUUUCAAUUCAAAAUUAAACGUUAUUAAAACUCAAAAUACAUUCA